UACGAAGGGGGCUAGCGUUGCUCGGAAUUACUGGGCGUAAAGGGCUCGUAGGCGGCCAACUAAGUCAUACGUGAAAUCCCUCGGCUUAACCGGGGAACUGCGUCUGAUACUGGAUGGCUUGAAUCCGGGAGAGGGAUGCAGAAUUCCAGGUGUAGCGGUGAAAUGCGUAGAUAUCUGGAGGAAUACCGGUGGCGAAGGCGGCAUCCUGGACCGGCAUUGACGCUGAGGAGCGAAAGCCAGGGGAGCAAAGCGGG
rnacentral:rRNA from 1 species